GUCCUCGGUUGCCCAGGAAACACAGAUGGUGGAUGAAGGGCGCGCAUACAAAAGACCAUAAACCUGUGGCAGCAGCUGGAGACCGAGCCACUGAUUAAUUCAGGUCUGUGCAGUCGUGCUUAGUCAAAGACGUCGCUGUUCUCUUCAAUACCUCCCAUCCAUUUUCUUUGUCCCGGGGCUUCCGUCUUCACUUUAUCCCGUUUUCCCCGGACCGGACUCCCGUCAGUGCGCAGCUGUUGUUGGCACUCCCACAUCUGCUUGUCUCAGCUCGGCAGCCAUGUAGACGACGCUCAGCUGCGGCUCAUAGUGCUUUUUACUGCAGGCAUAAUCACUACACAUACACGGCGUGUAUUUGCAGGUUCGGCAGCUUACCCUCAACAUGAUGAUGAUGAAGAAGAAGAAGAAGAAGAAGAAGAAGAAGAAGAAGAAGAAGAAGUGAUUUGUUCGUUUCCUUUGAUGCUGCGGGACAGGUGCAUGUGGAACCUGGAAGUCACUGGUAACCUUGUGGUCAAUGUUCAUCUUCAGAGGUGCUGACAUGCCACCAGUCAGGACACUGGGAGGAUCCACAUGGGAUCCAACAGCAGGACAGGUUAUGUGUACAGCCUGGAUUAUCUUUAUUCAAACUCAAGAAGGAGGAUAAUUUUCACUGGGGCACAAUAUCAGAUGGAGAGUUUAAUAACAUUACUUCUUCAAGUUAUAGAUAACAUGACAUCAAUGAAGUCUUUUUUGAAAUGGCUUACAUAUUUUAGCAGUUGAUGUAUUUCAGUAUCAUAUGUGUCUCCAUAGAAAACGGUAACACCCCUCCCUGGGGUAUCGUGGGAGGACAGUUGGGUUGCAUCCCACUUUUCUGCUGCUUUGUGUUGUGUGUUUCUCUCCAGUUACACUGAUGAAAGAGCAGAUUGGGAGUUGCACUGGACCUCACAAGCCCCAUCGCCCCAUUGCCCUCUACAGUGCUGCCUCACAGACUGGUGAAGGAUCUGUCAGUAGAUUUACACCAUGUGGUUGAUGCCAUUUCUGCUGCGUUUACCUUCGAGAAGAUCCGUGUCCACCUGUUCCCCCACUGAGAGACGACUUCUGCUGCUUUCGUGUAUCAGUGUAAUGGCCUUUGAAGAGUUGAAAAUUGCCACCUCUGCUUUGCAGUCAGUGUCAACAUGAUCAGAUUUAGCAAGAAUAUAUUUGCUGCAGUGUUCUUUCCCGUCUCUCUCAAAUGUGCAUAUUUUCCUGGCUGUGAAUAAUACUAAUAGCUUCAUCCACCCCCACUUUCAUUUUUUUUGGCUGAUCAAAAACACUGACACUGCAGCCAUCCAACACCUCUCACACCUCUUUAUUUCAGCUGCUGUGUGCAGUGGCCUCUUCUCUCUGUUACCUUGGUUACUCUGUCUAACACUUUGGGCACUUCUCCCUGUAUACGACACUUUAAAUUCACCAGAACUGUGUUUUAACGCUGCUCUUCUGUGUGUUAACUUUUCACUAAAGCUUGCAUGUAUCUAUGCCAGAUCCAGAAAUGGGAAAGCACUGAUAUUUUAAGAAAAAAUCUGCUUUAGAGUGUGAGAAUGACUCGUUUUCUCACAUUCUGACAAUGUGUAAUUCAUACAGUAUGCUCUUUGUCUUGAUACCAGCUAUUUUUAACAUACAGUAGUACUUUUACUGUAGUGUGUGGGGCGUGUGUGUCUACGUGAGUGCAUGUGUUUUUGCAUGUGCUCUGUUUGUGUGUGUGUUUCCUUCUGUUUGUGUGCAUGUGUAUCAUGUCUGUCUGACAAAACAGACAUUUGUUAUGAUCCUGAAGCUACUAGCCGCUUUUCCGUGAUUUUCUCUCUUAAAAGGCCUGAAGCUCUUUUUUUAGCCACUGAAUGUACCAGAGAAGGGAUAAAAAAAUAUUUACAAGUGAUUCUUAGCAUUUGUUUUCAACCUCGUUGCAGUACCAGUUAGGUGGGGAUUCUUGUGUUAGAUAAUCACAAGAAUGUCACUGGAAAUGAAUGGUGUGUAGUUUUCUAAAUGAUGCCUGCUGGCAUUAAUUAAACUGUAAUGAUGCCUACAGCCCCAUCAUCUGAUACUUAAGCAAAUUACAGCAAAUGCUAAUAAUUAUGUGCAAAUAGCUUUUUACCCAGGUCUGGAUUGUACUAACACUAUCUCACUAAUAUCUAACAAUACUAAUGUCUGCUAACAGUCGGAUGAUUACUAACCUGUGAAGUGAAUGCUGUUGGCUGGCCUUGUUCUUUUUAACCAACUGACUAACCCUCUGCUUUAUGCCCGCAGUCUGAUGCACACACUCUUCUCUCAUGAUCCUGAAAUCCUUCUUCAAAAAAUGACAAAGUCGGAUUGAUUAUUAGAGAAGAAAAUCAAGGGAAACUGUUGAAGUGAGCAAGUAAAGAAGGGUUUCAGAACUUGGGAUAGGAAAUGUUAUUAACCACUAGACAAAAAGGCGAGCAGAAACAGCUGCUGAUACUGGGUUGACCACAUACUUACAAUCCUUACAAAACCGAUUAUGAUCUGAUUCCAAAUGAUAUAACCAUACUUCACAGGCUAAAUUCCCAUCUUCAGAGACCAUCUUUUGUCUCUGCCUGCGUACUGUGUGGUCAAUCUUCACAGGUGAGUGCCUGGCUUGUUCUCACCACAGGUGCAGGGAGACACAAGCCGAGCAAACAUCAACUCCACUACUAACUUAUUACGGGGAUGAUACUAACAGUGGUAAGGCCGUAAAGGUCCACCUGUUUCUCUUACUAACACCUGUUCUUUCAAUCCUGAUGUCUGAAAGUAAAUUAUUCUGUCUCUAAUCUUGAAUAAAUCAAAGCAAGACUUGUGGUACUAGUGAUGUUUACUAAAAUUUUACUUUUACUUUACUUAUUACUGACAUUAUAUGAAAGCUUUUACCCUAAACAUCUUCUAGUGCCAUGAGUAUUUGCUUUUUAACAAGGGGCAGUUGUACUAAAAUCCUUUUAACAAGCAAGCUAGACAGAUUUGUUCUCUCAACAAGCUACUAACAUUUUCUAAAAUUAAAUUAACAGAGACAAAGAGCUUUUAUUAGCUCUCUGCAAACUAACAAACUAACCUACUAAUAAACUAAUAAUCUAACAAAUCUACUAAAACCACUAACUUUGUGCUGAGUGACACAAUUAGUGAAGCACCCUGAUUUUUAGGCGUUGCAUCACUCAGUGAAUGUACUAACAAUUACAUUUUUAAGAGUUUCUGAUUUGAUUGAGUGCCUAUCUGAGAGUGAGCACAGAAGAGCAUGUAUGUGUGUUUGUACAGAAUGUACAAAUGUAAGCAAACUGGAUGAGUGACCGCGUGAUUUCUUUCUCUCAAGCAAUAAUUUAUCAUACAUGUAUUAUUAUAUUCAUUAGAGCAGUUUUAACCAAAUGUAUCCACAACUGCUCUAUCAGCACCAGGAUACCUAUAAAACACAGACAGUUGAACCUCUCAAACAAUACACUGUUUGGAAGUAUUAUGUAUGUAAAGGAAAAUAAACUUAAUGAACACAAAUAUUUUUGUACUUUAUUGCUAUUCUAUCAGUUGUCUUUACUACAUACAUUUGCAAAAAACAAUUUUCAUCUAAAAUAAAAUGUAUUUAAAAUCGAA